AAGCUGUGAUGUUCCACCCUUCACGUGGC
rnacentral:sRNA from 1 species